AGUGAACGCUGGCGGCAGGCCUAACACAUGCAAGUCGAACGGCAGCACAGUAAGAGCUUGCUCUUACGGGUGGCGAGUGGCGGACGGGUGACGAAUACAUCGGAAUCUACUUUUUCGUGGGGGAUAACGUAGGGAAACUUACGCUAAUAUCGCAUAUGACCUACGGGUGAAAGCAGUGGAUCUUCGGACCUUUCGCGAUUGAAUGAGCCGAUGUCGGACUAGCUAGUUGGCGGGGUACAGGCCCACCAAGGCGACGAUCCGUAGCUGGUCUGAGAGGAUGAUCAGCCGCACUGGAACGGAGACACGGUCCAGAGUCCUACGGGAGGCAGCAGUGGGGAAUAUUGGGCAAUGGGCGCAAGCCUGAUCCAGCCAUACCGCGUGGGUGAGGAAGGCCUUCGGGUUGUAAAGCCCUUUUGUUGGGAAAGAAAAGCAGCAGGUUAAUACCCCGCUGUUCUGACGGUACCCAAAGAAUAAGCACCGGCUAACUUCGUG
rnacentral:rRNA from 1 species